CCCUGAUGUUAGCGGCGGACGGGUGAGUAACACGUGGGUAACCUGCCUGUAAGACUGGGAUAACUCCGGGAAACCGGGGCUAAUACCGGAUGCUUGUUUGAACCGCAUGGUUCAAACAUAAAAGGUGGCUUCGGCUACCACUUACAGAUGGACCCGCGGCGCAUUAGCUAGUUGGUGAGGUAAUGGCUCACCAAGGCAACGAUGCGUAGCCGACCUGAGAGGGUGAUCGGCCACACUGGGACUGAGACACGGCCCAGACUCCUACGGGAGGCAGCAGUAGGGAAUCUUCCGCAAUGGACGAAAGUCUGACGGAGCAACGCCGCGUGAGUGAUGAAGGUUUUCGGAUCGUAAAGCUCUGUUGUUAGGGAAGAACAAGUACCGUUCGAAUAGGGCGGUACCUUGACGGUACCUAACCAGAAAGCCACGGCUAACUACGUGCCAGCAGCCGCGGUAAUACGUAGGUGGCAAGCGUUGUCCGGAAUUAUUGGGCGUAAAGGGCUCGCAGGCGGUUCCUUAAGUCUGAUGUGAAAGCCCCCGGCUCAACCGGGGAGGGUCAUUGGAAACUGGGGAACUUGAGUGCAGAAGAGGAGAGUGGAAUUCCAC
rnacentral:rRNA from 1 species